CCUACGGGAGGCUGCAGUGGGGAAUUUUGGACAAUGGGGGCAACCCUGAUCCAGCCAUGCCGCGUGAGUGAAGAAGGCCUUCGGGUUGUAAAGCUCUUUCAGCCGGGAAGAAAACGCAUGGGUUAAUACCCUGUGUGGAUGACGGUACCGGAAUAAGAAGCACCGGCUAACUACGUGCCAGCAGCCGCGGUAAUACGUAGGGUGCGAGCGGUAAUCGGAAUUACGGGGCGGAAUGCGUACGCAGGGGGUUAAAUCCCCGGGCUCAACCUGGGAACUGCGUUUAUGACUGGCAGGCUAGAGUAUGGCAGAGGGGGGUGGAAUUCCACGUGUAGCAGUGAAAUGCGUAGAGAUGUGGAGGAACACCGAUGGCGAAGGCAGCCCCCUGGGCCAAUACUGACGCUCAUGCACGAAAGCGUGGGUAGCAAACAGGAUUAGAUACCCUAGUAGUC
rnacentral:rRNA from 1 species